AUUUUGGUGGAGAUCCCUAUGUACCUGAGGUGUUCUGAAGAUUUGAUAAGCAGAAACUGCAGCAGCUGUUUCAUUCCCAGUGUAUACUUGCAUUUUGGAUUGAACUUGUCUAUUUAACCAACUGAUUGGAAAGGGAGCCCUGGGCGAACUUCUAAGUGCUUGUUACUGAGCAAGAACAGCUAAGAAAGCAAACAUCUUUCAGAAUUAGCAAGUAUCACUGCUCAUUCAUCUGAGGAAUUGAUUACUACGCUUUUGCCAUAACUAUGGAAAAGAGCAAAACUGGUCUUACUCUAACUGCAGAAUUGAACUGAACUGUUGAUUGAUCUUUUCUUCUUUUUCUUCAGGACCUUUUUGCCUCUUCAGAAGAAUAAAACUCAGCAACGUGAAGUCCAUGUACCAGAAGCUGAACCAGAAGCUGAAGCAGAAGGGAUCCCUGAUUUGCAGACUGAAUGUUCAGGAUCUUUUGAGCAACUCAAAGAAGAUAUGGUGGUAGAGUAAAGGAAAGCUCAAAUUAUUCGUGGCUGACACAGGGAUAUUAUCCUCUGCAUAAUUGUUGUGUGUUGAAGAGAUGGAAGGUGAACAAAGUACAAAUGGUAUGCAUGAGUAUGAGAGAAAGCAUAUGUGGUGUAUGUUUUUCUAAAUCUUAAAAGAAUGACUUUAUGCUUAUGUUAACCAUACAAUUGUUUAAAAUUAUGCAGGCAGAAAAAUUCGUUUAUCUGGAAAAUGAGCACAAAGUAAUUAAAACUUGCCAACAAUUUAGUAAUUGUAUCCCGUGCUAUUUAACAUUACUGGGUGGGCAUAUGAAACUAUAGGACAUCUGGAGGAUGAGGGUAAAAACAGUCCACACUGGUGCCAGAGUUGGUCUAAGUUCGUAAUUGUCUGAAACAGACCUCUAUGCCAAUUAGCAUCAAAUAGACAUCUGUUUUGUACAUUUAGGAUCUGAUUGAAUGAGUCAAACUUUUACUCAUCAAAGCUAUCAGGCAGAAUCAACACCAAGACCUAAAAAAAACAUUCUAUGGGAACAGAUACACAAGGAUAAUGUUAAAUGUCAGGGCAAUAAAAGGAGAAAAAAGAAGGAAAAAAUGGGAGAGAACAGCCAUGUGGGUGGGCCCCUAUUUAAUAACUGCAAAAGGAUAAACAAGUAUUUAGCAAAAAUUAUUCAUUUACGGAAAAAUCAGACCUUUGUUUAGUAAUCAGAUUAAGUUGCACAUAUAAGAGGACAGACUCUUACCUUCUAGUAAAUGCUAUAUAUAUGGUUAAAUUUCCUCUGCCAAAGCCAAUAAAAACAAUGAUUUUUCAAAUAAAAGAGUGAGUAAUGGAGCAACUACAUAUGGAAAUGAAAGCAAGCUCUGUUUCAGUAGUGUUAUUCACGGUGAUAAACAUUAUCAGAGGAUGAUGCAUAUAACAACACCCAAGUUGGGAAUAAACAAUUCAUUUCAAAAGAAGCUCAAGCUAAAGUUAGAUUAACUCUAGUAUUCCAAACUUUUAUUCUGCCUUUUUUCUUAAACAUACAAAGGAAUAAUAUCCCUUCUCUUAUUCAUUUGAGCUUUGCAAAAAUAAAGUGCGUUAGAGGUGAUGAUUUUGUGAUAAUUGGAAGUGUAUAACCUGAGACUAUUACUACAAGAAUCCUGAGAAUAGCUUUGUUACACUUACUAGCCAUGAUAAACUAAGAAGUGCCUAAAAGAAAAUAUAGGAUUGGAUACAUGGGACUUUUACUGGAGCCAUAAAACUGCAUUGCACAAUUCAUUUCUUAAGGACUCCAAAUUAAGAUUUAUUUUCUGUAUAGUGUACAACAAACAGUCUCAGAAUCACGAAAAGAAGAUAAGGUAAAAAAAAAAAAAAAGGAAUAGAGAGAUCUGCUGCAAAAUAUGGACAUGCUAACAGCCAGGGGGCCAAAUACUGACAUUUUUAAUAUGCAGUAGAUGGUUUCAGUUGCAGUGAAUAGGAAUGGUUUGAAAGUGUCCAUGAAAGUAGAAGGAAAGUGAAGUUGUCUGUACGGAACUACUAAAGAAAAAGAAAUUCAUUCACAGUAGAAUCUGUCCCAAAGACACCUUCUGUAUUGGGAAGCUGCUGUUUAUUAUUAGAAGAUCCCUGGGGUUUCCAGGAUCUUUGAGGUGCAUGGAAAAAGGCAGAACACAGUCUCUUAACUUUUCUGAUGUUUCAAAACGCGGACAUCAAAGGAAAGCAGCACUGAAGAGGGAAAGAUAGAGUCUGAGAAAAACAACAGAGAUAAAAGUUGAAAAUAGCUAGGUAAAAACUAGAGGACUGAACCUGACAUGAUACUUCUUAAAUGUGUUCCUUUGCAGCCAAAACUCAGUGAAAGCUUUUAAGAAGACUUCAUAUAUAAUAGUUAUUUUCUGAAUUUCAAAGCCAUUUUAUGCUAUUUUUUGUAUUUGUCGAUCUCAAGGAAUGGCUUAAAAUACGAUCAGUAUGGCGAAAUGUAAUUAGGUGUUUAUUAUCCAUUUCUGAAAGGAGUGAUGUAUUUCCCUGUAUUGCAGAGAGG